GACGAACGCUGGCGGCGUGCUUAACACAUGCAAGUCGAACGAAGUGGCGAACGGGUGAGUAAUACGUGGGUAACCCGCCCUCCCUUUACGGGUAAGCCUUGGAAAAGGGGUCUAAUACCUAAUAAAGGGGGAUGGGCUCGUGGCCUCUCAGCUUGUUGGUGGGGUGAUGGCCUAACAAGGCGGUGACGGGUAGCCGGACUGAGAGGGUGCCCGGCCACAGUGCGACGGCGAUACGGCCCAGACUCCUACGGGAGGGAGCAGUGGGGGAUAUUGCACGAUGGGCGACAGCCUGAUGCAGCGACGCCGCGUGGGGGAUGAAUGCUUUCGGGUUGUAAACCUCUUUCACAAUCAAACCGGUAGGUGGAGAAGAAGCGCCGGCUAACUACGUGCCAGCCGCCGCGGUAAUAC
rnacentral:rRNA from 1 species